CGAACGGGUGAGUAAUGCGUGACCAACCUGCCCCAUGCUCCAGAAUAGCUCUUGGAAACGGGUGGUAAUGCUGGAUGCUCCAACUUGACGCAUGUCUUGUUGGGAAAGUGUUUAGUGGCAUGGGAUGGGGUCGCGUCCUAUCAGCUUGUAGGCGGGGUAAUGGCCCACCUAGGCUUCGACGGGUAGCCGGCCUGAGAGGGCGGACGGCCACAUUGGGACUGAGAUACGGCCCAGACUCCUACGGAGGCAGCAGGC
rnacentral:rRNA from 1 species